rnacentral:rRNA from 1 species
UGUCGUCAGCUCGUGUUGUGAAAUGUUGGGUUAAGUCCCGCAACGAGCGCAACCCUUAUCCUUUGUUGCCAGCGGUCCGGCCGGGAACUCAAAGGAGACUGCCAGUGAUAAACUGGAGGAAGGUGGGGAUGACGUCAAGUCAUCAUGGCCCUUACGACCAGGGCUACACACGUGCUACAAUGGCGCAUACAAAGAGAAGCGACCUCGCGAGAGCAAGCGGACCUCAUAAAGUGCGUCGUAGUCCGGAUUGGAGUCUGCAACUCGACUCCAUGAAGUCGGAAUCGCUAGUAAUCGUGGAUCAGAAUGCCACGGUGAAU